rnacentral:rRNA from 1 species
CGAAGGGUGCAAGCGUUACUCGGAAUUACUGGGCGUAAAGCGUGCGUAGGUGGUGAGUUAAGUCUGUCGUGAAAGCCCCGGGCUCAACCUGGGAAUGGCGAUGGAUACUGGCUCGCUAGAGUGCGGUAGAGGAGAGUGGAAUUCCCGGUGUAGCAGUGAAAUGCGUAGAGAUCGGGAGGAACAUCAGUUGCGAAGGCGGCUCUCUGGACCAGCACUGACACUGAGGCACGAAAGCGUGGGGAGCAAACAGGAUUAGAUACCCCGGUAGUCCACGCCCUAAACGAUGCGAACUGGACGUUGGGAGCAAUCAGGCUCUCAGUGUCGAAGCUAACGCGUUAAGUUCGCCGCCUGGGGAGUACGGUCGCAAGACUG